AUUAAUAACGGAGGUCGAGAACCCCAUAAAUUAAU
rnacentral:ncRNA from 2 species